rnacentral:ribozyme from 13 species
AAAGAGGGAGAGAAGAAGAAGAAAGAAGAGGAGAGAAAGAGGCUGAAGAGGAAAAACGCUUUUCUUUUUCUUUUUCCUUUUCUUUUUCUCUUUCUCUUUCCUUCUCCUUCUCCUUGUCUUUUUCUGAUUUGAAAAUGAGAUGGGCACGAGCAAUUAACCACUCGACGACAAGUUGUUCCCUGUUUAAUCGUUUUUGGACCCCAGUUAAAUCAAGAUCUUUAAGUUUAUCAGAAGAAGACUGGGGUUGUCUCAAAAUAACAGGGGCGAACAUUUUAGCCAAAUUUGUGACAUCCAUCUUAUUUUUAUCGACAUGCAAACUAAAGAGCCUUAAAUAAGGAAACAAAAUCUCAAAAAUCUGAGAAUUUUCAUCAGGCAAACUAUGAACCAAUUUCCUCAAAUACAAAUCA